rnacentral:rRNA from 3 species
UACGUAGGGUGCGAGCGUUAAUCGGAAUUACUGGGCGUAAAGCGUGCGCAGGCGGUUCGUUGUGUCGGUGGUGAAAGCCCCGGGCUUAACCUGGGAAUGGCCAUGGAAACUGGCGAACUGGAGUGUGGCAGAGGGGGGUGGAAUUCCGCGUGUAGCAGUGAAAUGCGUAGAGAUGCGGAGGAACACCGAUGGCGAAGGCAGCCCCCUGGGCUAGCACUGACGCUCAGGCACGAAAGCGUGGGGAGCAAACAGG